AUGAAGGAAUUGCUUUUUGUUUUGCAGGGGGACAAUAUCUUACCAUCUCUGAACCCAAAGGCAUAGAAGGAAAAGCAGCACAUCUUAUUCUUCCGCUGGGUCACAUGGCUCAGGCUGGGGACUUGUGCCUGUCGUUCAGACAUAAAGUGCCCGGGCUGCAUUCGGGUGCCCUGCAAGUCUUUGUGAGGAGAAGUGGUGCUCAUGGACCAGCUGUGUGGGGAAGGAAUGGCGGCCACGGCUGGAGGCAGACACACAUAACUCUGCGAGGACUGGGCAUCAAGAGUGUUAUUUUCAAAGGAGAGAAAGGAAAAGGAAGAACUGGGGACAUUGGACUGGACGAUGUAAUGUUGAGAAGAGGACGCUGCUCUGAAGAGCAUUAGCAAAGACAGCGGAGUAGCACAGCCUGCUCCUGCAGCCCUUCUCGUGCUAUUCUUACUGAGCUUUGAAACAGAACAGCAUGAAAAAGGAAAAACAGAUGGAGAAUGACAACUUCUUAGUGGUCUGCUAAGUGCAGUCUUGCUGAAACUUCAAUUAACAACAUGAAGACCUCCUCCUGGAAUUCAGGAACUGUAAAUCAGUGCUGGUUGUUUCUGUUAAUCCUUGCUUCUAACUCGUUUUGUAUGUAGUAACUUUAUCCCCUGUUUAACCCGAGUACUCAUCCAAAGAGCACUUGUGAAAAAGGAAGAAUUAAUUACAAACAGUAUGAAAUAUCUGGCUUGGAAAGUCUUAGUAUUAACAGAUAUUCAUUAUUUUCCCAUAGUGCUACUCUUCUAUUAAUUAGAUUUGAUAGACAGUGGGAUUGAUCUGGCUUCAGAGCUAUCCGAAGCCUGAACCUGAACUCUGGAUCACUGCCAUUGACCUUUGAAGAAGGGUUGCUCCUUAUUAAACAGCAUUUAUUUUGGUCUUGCAUCUAUAUCAAAAAGCAGUUACAUAGAGUAGGCACUGCAUCCUGUAAUAUUGCUACUGCUGUGUUUUGUGUAUAUGUGUAUGGUUGUUAACAUAUUUAUGUUUUUAAUAUUUACAGACUCUAGUUGCAAGAUAAUUUGGCAGUCUGUGCUUUCUUACUGCACAGAAGAAGAGCUCAGCACACUGCGGGAUCCCGCUGAUCGUGCCAAGAAAUAGGUUACCAAAAUCAGCUAAUGGUGCUCAUUGAAAAGUGCCGGUACAGUUUUCAUGUGGUAAUAUGCUGAAGGCAAAAGACCAAAUCCUUACCUACUGUAAACUGGCACCUCAUCAUGCUGUGCAGGUCUGUCUUUAGCUCAGGAGCCAACCUUCAAUCCUGCCAGCAGCUCCUUCACAGCCUGCAGAAGGCCACUGGCAGACGGUACGAUUGUGCCCAUCGAACCACCAGGAACGUUCCCUUCCAUAUGGGGCACGAGCCUACGCGUAAGCAAAAGAGGGCAGCUGUGUUACUGCUGUACAAACAAUUCAGACCGUGAAAUGCCUUGAGUCACCUUUGUAUAAUGUCCAUAUUCUACCCAACUGUUCUGUAUAUAAUAAACAUCUAACUGUUUAGAACUAGAACAAAUGUUAGCUCUUGCUGGCGCUAAAUAUUUAUCAGAACUUUGGGGUAACUUUCUUAGCUUUCUAUCAUGCACGUGGUCUGCAGGUUCCCAGGGAAUUCUUCCAUUUGGUUUAGGACUUUUAGAUGAGAAACAUCAUCAUUGGUGUUAAGGAUUCUAAAUUUGACAAUAGUAACAUUUCAGAAAAUAACAGGAGAUGGAUAAAGUAUUCUUAGUGGCACAGCCUUAAAGCUUAAAAAAAUAUAUAUGUAGCAAAAAUAGGUCUCAGAUCUUUUAAAUACUUACAUAAAGUAUAAAACAAAUGUCAGCUUUGUAUCUUGUUACAGAAUUAUCACUAAAACUAAGUCAAACUUUGCAGCAAGGCUACAGCCAUGAGAGGCCAGAUUCCAAAUAGCUGUUUCUGCCAAAGUACUCUUUUAAGAACAUUUUUCCAGUUUGUCCCUUAGGACACCAUCAGCAUUGUGUGUACAGCAGAAGCCUAUUUGACCAAACAGAUGGAUAUUGUCCUGCACAAAUGCAUCAACAAACAUUCUGAAAUGGAAGCGAACCACAUAUUUGUAAAAAUUCUGGCAACUAUUUUGCUUCAAUUAUGAUCAUGAUCUGUCUUCUCUUACGUUAUUUUGCAAUGUGUCAGAAAUAUUUGUGAAUAGUUGAAAUGACUUGUCCUUAUUUUAAAGUAAUCAGUAAAGAAGGCUGUUACUUGAUACUGA